rnacentral:rRNA from 1 species
UACGUAGGGUGCGAGCGUUAAUCGGAAUUACUGGCGUAAAGCGUGCGCAGCGGCGCCGCAAGUCGAGUGUGAAAUCCCGAGCUUAACUUGGGAAUUGCGCUCGAAACUACGGUGCUGGAGUGUGGCAGAGGGAGGUGGAAUUCCACGUGUAGCGGUGAAUGCGUAGAGAUCGGAGGAAUACCGGUGGCGAAGCGACUCUCUGGACGGCAACUGACGCUGA